rnacentral:rRNA from 2 species
CGAACGAACUCUGGUAUUGAUUGGUGCUUGCAUCAUGAUUUACAUUUGAGUGAGUGGCGAACUGGUGAGUAACACGUGGGAAACCUGCCCRGAAGCGGGGGAUAACACCUGGAAACAGAUGCUAAUACCGCAUAACAACUUGGACCGCAUGGUCCGAGYUUGAAAGAUGGCUUCGGCUAUCACUUYUGGAUGGUCCCGCGGCGUAUUAGCUAGAUGGUGAGGUAACGGCUCACCAUGGCAAUGAUACGUAGCCGACCUGAGAGGGUAAUCGGCCACAUUGGGACUGAGACACGGCCCAAACUCCUACGGGAGGCAGCAGUAGGGAAUCUUCCACAAUGGACGAAAGUCUGAUGGAGCAACGCCGCGUGAGUGAAGAAGGGUUUCGGCUCGUAAAACUCUGUUGUUAAAGAAGAACAUAUCUGAGAGUAACUGUUCAGGUAUUGACGGUAUUUAACCAGAAAGCCACGGCUAACUACGUGCCAGCCGCCGCGGUAAUWCGGUCAUAGCUG